rnacentral:rRNA from 1 species
AAUAGAUACCCGGGUAGUCCACGCCGUAAACGAUGAGUGCUAAGUGUUAGAGGGCUUCCACCCUUUAGUGCUGCAGCUAACGCAUUAAGCACUCCGCCUGGGGAGUACGGCCGCAAGGCUGAAACUCAAAGGAAUUGACGGGGGCCCGCACAAGCGGUGGAGCAUGUGGUUUAAUUCGAAGCAACGCGAAGAACCUUACCAGGUCUUGACAUCCUUGGCUACCUCUAGAGAUAGAGGGUUCCCCUUCGGGGGACGGAGUGACAGGUGGUGCAUGGUUGUCGUCAGCUCGUGUCGUGAGAUGUUGGGUUAAGUCCCGCAACGAGCGCAACCCUUGACCUUAGUUGCCAGCAUUCAGUUGGGCACUCUAAGGUGACUGCCGGUGACAAACCGGAGGAAGGUGGGGAUGACGUCAAAUCAUCAUGCCCCUUAUGACCUGGGCUACACACGUGCUACAAUGGAUGGUACAAAGGGUCGCGAAACCGCGAGGUGGAGCUAAUCCCAAAAAACCAUUCUCAGUUCGGAUUGCAGG